rnacentral:rRNA from 1 species
AACGAACGCUGGCGGCAUGCCUAACACAUGCAAGUCGAACGAGACCUUCGGGUCUAGUGGCGCACGGGUGCGUAACGCGUGGGAACCUGCCCUUAGGUUCGGAAUAACUCCCCGAAAGGGGUGCUAAUACCGGAUAAUGUCUUCGGACCAAAGAUUUAUCGCCUUUGGAUGGGCCCGCGUUGGAUUAGCUAGUUGGUAGGGUAAAAGCCUACCAAGGCGACGAUCCAUAGCUGGUCUGAGAGGAUGAUCAGCCACACUGGGACUGAGACACGGCCCAGACUCCUACGGGAGGCAGCAGUGGGGAAUAUUGGACAAUGGACGAAAGCCUGAUCCAGCAAUGCCGCGUGAGUGAUGAAGGCCUUAGGGUUGUAAAGCUCUUUUACCCGGGAUGAUAAUGACAGUACCGGGAGAAUAAGCUCCGGCCAACUCCGUG